UAUACGGCGAAACUGCGAAUGGCUCAUUAAAUCAGUUAUCGUUUAUUUGAUAGUACCUUACUACUUGGAUAACCGUGGUAAUUCUAGAGCUAAUACAUGCUUAAAACCCCGACUCACGAAGGGGUGUAUUUAUUAGAUUAAAAACCAAUGCCCUUCGGGGCUCUUUGGUGAUUCAUAAUAACUUUUCGAAUCGCAUGGCCUUGCGCCGGCGAUGGUUCAUUCAAAUUUCUGCCCUAUCAACUUUCGAUGGCAGGGUCUUGGCCUGCCAUGGUGACAACGGGUAACGGAGGGUUAGGGCUCGACCCCGGAGAAGGAGCCUGAGAAACGGCUACUACAUCCAAGGAAGGCAGCAGGCGCGCAAAUUACCCAAUCCCGACUCGGGGAGGUAGUGACAAUAAAUACUGAUACAGGGCUCUUUUGGGUCUUGUAAUUGGAAUGAGUACAAUUUAAAUCCCUUAACGAGGAACAAUUGGAGGGCAAGUCUGGUGCCAGCAGCCGCGGUAAUUCCAGCUCCAAUAGCGUAUAUUAAAGUUGUUGCAGUUAAAAAGCUCGUAGUUGAACCUUGGGCCUGGCUGGCCGGUCCGCCUCACCGCGUGCACUGGUUCGGCCGGGCCUUUCCCUCUGGGGAACCGCAUGCCCUUCACUGGGUGUGUCGGGGAACCAGGACUUUUACUGUGAAAAAAUUAGAGUGUUCAAAGCAGGCCUAUGCUCGAAUACAUUAGCAUGGAAUAAUAGAAUAGGACGUGUGGUUCUAUUUUGUUGGUUUCUAGGACCGCCGUAAUGAUUAAUAGGGACAGUCGGGGGCAUCAGUAUUCAAUUGUCAGAGGUGAAAUUCUUGGAUUUAUUGAAGACUAACUACUGCGAAAGCAUUUGCCAAGGAUGUUUUCAUUAAUCAGGAACGAAAGUUAGGGGAUCGAAGACGAUCAGAUACCGUCGUAGUCUUAACCAUAAACUAUGCCGACUAGGGAUCGGGCGAUGUUAUUAUUUGACUCGCUCGGCACCUUACGAGAAAUCAAAGUC
rnacentral:rRNA from 2 species